rnacentral:rRNA from 1 species
CCCUAUGGGGUGCAGCAGGCAAUACGGGGUGGGAAUAUCGCUGAGUCGCCGGGUCAGAAGAUCCCCGGCCAACUCGAGCAACCGAAUAUAACGAUCCUUCCAAUCUUCAAAGUCCAGAAAGAUAUUUCCCAGUUCCACUAGGGAUAUGUAUUGAAUACCUUCUUUGGCCAGCAACCCUUCAAUACCCUUGGCCGGAACUUUGGAUUUGGCGUAGAUGCUCUGGCUGGACCGAUCCGGCCGCAGGCGGACAUCGGUUACGGCCCGAAUCCCUUUUUCUUUCAGCCGUUCAAGGAAUUCCUCCGGUCUUCGACGGCCGUAGCCGAUGGUGUAGAUGGUAAUCAUUGGGGUUUCUUCCUGCGAAUGGCCUUUUCGAUCUGCCCGUACUUUUCGAUCAAGGCCUGCCAGAUCAAGUGAGAUAGCAAUAGGUCAUUGGCGGGGGAGC